rnacentral:lncRNA from 1 species
GAGGAGCCCGCUGCCCAUCGCUCGCAGUCUACCGCCGCCACCGGUGCCCCUCCGGCAUCUGUGAGACACGGAGUCUUCUUUGCCCUAAAUCCCUAAUCCCCUCUCCAGAUUUCCCCUCUUCUCUGCUCCUUACUCUGUUCAGUGGAAUGGUGGAUUGAUUUCUUCAGGGACAUUGGAGGAGAUACGUAUGAGCUACUUGUUGGUGGUACGGAUUUUCUCCAGCAAGCUGAGUUCUCGCUGAUGAACCAGAACUGGAGGCUUUGUUGCAUUGCAUGAUAUGGGUGUGCUGGAAAUUGAGGAGGAUAAUGAAGCAAUGGAGGAGUAACUUAUUUGUGCUACUGUAAUCUGUGAACCUUAAUUAGCUACUGUUAUUAUUCAUUUAUUUAAUAUAUAUACAAGCGUAUCCCCGUAUCUAUGUUUCUUAAAAAUUGACAUAUCGUGGUAUCCCUGUAUCGUGUCGCAGAUACAUAUCAACGUAUCCUUAUUUCCUGCUACCAAGUUGACAUAGAAGCACCAAACUUAGGCCGUCAGGCGCCAAUAUUGUCAGAUACCUUUUCGUGAGAACAAUGUAACAAGUUCGAUGUUAUCGGUGCAAUGUUAGCAUCAAAAUAACCCAUGCAAACACUUUCCACAUCAGAAUAUAAAACCUGAACCCAUGGUACAGUAAGCACUAUAUUACUUUACCUAGUUUUCCAAAUAUAAGAAAGUUUGUACACAUGGCAAAUCCAGAUUCUCAUUCCUAGGAUAGGGAUUGUA